rnacentral:rRNA from 1 species
AACGAACGCUGGCGGCAGGCUUAACACAUGCAAGUCGAGCGCCCCGCAAGGGGAGCGGCGGACGGGUGAGUAACGCGUGGGAACCUACCUAGAGGUGCGGAAUAACUCAGGGAAACUUGAGCUAAUACCGCAUGAGCCCGAGAGGGGAAAGAUUUAUCGCCUUUGGAUGGGCCCGCGUCAGAUUAGCUAGUUGGUGCGGUAACGGCUCACCAAGGCGACGAUCUGUAGCUGGUCUGAGAGGAUGAUCAGCCACAUUGGGACUGAGACACGGCCCAGACUCCUACGGGAGGCAGCAGUGGGGAAUAUUGGACAAUGGGCGCAAGCCUGCUCCAGCCAUGCCGCGUGAGUAAUGACGGCCUUAUGGUUGUAAAGCUCUUUCGACGGGGACGAUAAUGACGGUACCCGUAGAAGAAGCCCCGGCUAACUUCGUGCCAGCCGCCGCGGUAACAC